CAGGCCUAACACAUGCAAGUCGAACGGUUGUAGCAAUACAGCAGUGGCGCACGGGUGAGUAACGCGUGGGAACAUCCCUUUCAGUCUGGAAUAACAGCGGGAAACUGCUGCUAAUACCGGAUAUUCUCUUCGGAGGAAAGAUUUAUCGCUGAAAGAUUGGCCCGCGUCAGAUUAGCUAGUUGGUGAGGUAAUGGCUCACCAAGGCUCCGAUCUGUAGCUGGUCUGAGAGGACGACCAGCCACACUGGAACUGAGACACGGUCCAGACUCCUACGGGAGGCAGCAGUGGGGAAUAUUGGACAAUGGGCGAAAGCCUGAUCCAGCCAUGCCGCGUGAAUGAUGAAGGCCUUAGGGUUGUAAAGUUCUUUUGUCAGGGAAGAUAAUGACGGUACCUGAAGAAUAAGCACCGGCUAACUUCGUGCCAGCAGCCGCGGUAAUAC
rnacentral:rRNA from 1 species